AACGAUGUCGACUUGGAGGUUGUGCCCUUGAGGCGUGGCUUCCGGAGCUAACGCGUUAAGUCGACCGCCUGGGGAGUACGGCCGCAAGGUUAAAACUCAAAUGAAUUGACGGGGGCCCGCACAAGCGGUGGAGCAUGUGGUUUAAUUCGAUGCAACGCGAAGAACCUUACCUGGUCUUGACAUCCACAGAACUUUCCAGAGAUGGAUUGGUGCCUUCGGGAACUGUGAGACAGGUGCUGCAUGGCUGUCGUCAGCUCGUGUUGUGAAAUGUUGGGUUAAGUCCCGCAACGAGCGCAACCCUUAUCCUUUGUUGCCAGCGGUCCGGCCGGGAACUCAAAGGAGACUGCCAGUGAUAAACUGGAGGAAGGUGGGGAUGACGUCAAGUCAUCAUGGCCCUUACGACCAGGGCUACACACGUGCUACAAUGGCGCAUACAAAGAGAAGCGACCUCGCGAGAGCAAGCGGACCUCAUAAAGUGCGUCGUAGUCCGGAUUGGAGUCUGCAACUCGACUCCAUGAAGUCGGAAUCGCUAGUAAUCGUGGAUCAGAAUGCCACGGUGAAUACGUUCCCGGGCCUUGUACACACCGCCCGUCACACCAUGGGAGUGAGUUGCAAAAGAAGUAGGUAGCUUAACCUUCGGGAGGGCGCUUACCACUUUGUGAUUCAUGACUGGGGUGAAGUCGUAACAAGGUAACCGUAGGGGAACCUGCGGUUG
rnacentral:rRNA from 1 species